AUAAAUUAUAAGAUAUUGUAAUUUUUUUACAACCAAAGUUCAACUUUUAUUGCAUCUCGUGGUUUUCAGUUUUCUCUUCCCUUUUAAGAGGCCCAAAAUAUUAAUGCUCUCCUUCAAUUCAUUUUCAGCUAAUAUACAUUUUUUCCCUCAAGUUCUGUUUGUUGUGUCCUGAUGCUUACAAUGUUUUCUUAAAGGUCUAAAGGAAAUGUUUUCUUCCAACAUAAUAUCCUGUGGACUGCAGAAGGUCUUUCCUUUUUUUCUCAGUAACUGGUCUGACAGAUUUUUCAUUUCAUUGAAAUAAUUCCUAUACCAUUAUUAUUUAGUUUCCUUAGGAAAAAACCUAAGUUAAGGCCAGGUGCAGUGGCUCAUUCCUGUAAUCCCAGCACUUUGGGAGGCCAAGGUGGGUGAAUCACCUGAGGUCAGGAGUUUGAGACCAGCCUGGCCAACAUGGCGAAACCCCAUCUCUACUAAAAAUACAAAAAUUAGCUAGGCAUGGUGGCACAUGCCUGUAAUCCCAGCUACUCGGGAGGCUGAGGCAGGAGAAUUGGUUGAACCUGGGAGGUGGAGGUUGCAGUGAGCUGAGACCGUGCCAUUGCAUUCCAGCCUGGGUGACAGAGCGAGACUCUGUCUCAAAAAAAAAAAAGAAAAAAGAAAAAAACUGAGUAAAAAUAUUUUUUUAAAUUAAAGUUAUUACAUCUGUGGGUCUUUCUGUAUGUGCUUUUAAAGUCCUUGUGACAUUGACUUACAGGGCUUUGACUCCUGGGUCUAUAAAGGGCACCAAAUCCUGCUAAAGCUCAAACACUGAAGAUGAGGCUUCAAUUGCCUCAUCUUCAGGCACCUAGAAGAUGCCAAUCAAAAUAAAUUGCAUUCCUGAGACACAGGGCCAGAAAUUAAAGCUAUUCAACUCCUCAAGACCCAAGGACUAUCGUGGAACAGGUGGGCAUGUGGGAUUGUAAGGGCCAAUUUUGAGAGAAAAUUAUGUUCAGUUUCUCUAUAAAUUAACCAUUAAUGUCAAAGGCACACUGAUGCAAGACCAGUAUACGCCCUGUGUCAGAUUAACAAGGUUUUCUUGAAGCAUUAUCCAACUCCUUAAUAAAGGCUCUAAAGGUUAUAAAAGGCUAAUGGAAGUUACGUCUUAUGGUCAAGAUUAAAAUUUUAUAGAUUGUUUAGAAAAUUUCAGAAAGCUAAUUUAAUUGGCUUCAUGCUGUUUUUAUUAGGGCUAAUUAUGUGGAAAAUUCACUCUCCUCUCUUAAAGAAUGCAGGUUUAUACCUUUUUUUGAAAUCCUUGAGUUACCACUUUGGUUAAAUGAAUGACUUAUUUUACAAUGAUCUGUGAUCCUAUUUUGUGAUAUCAAGUGUUUUAAACCUUUGAUAUUUGACAAACUAUCCAAAAGCAAAUUAUAAAUUAUGUCUUUUUCUGACCUAAUUAAUACUUUAAGAUAUUAAGUUCCCUAAAGUCUAAAAAUGACAUAAUUUGGCUUAUUUGCUAUAAAUAUUAUAUAGGAAGCAUUGUUACAUAUGAAAUGGUGUUUGGUUUUCUUUGGGCUGUAUUUGUAUAAAUGUUAUUAGUGUAUGUUCCAAAAUUAUGGGAAACUCCUAUAAUUCUGAUAUUACUUAGUAUGCAUUAUCAGUAAUAAUAAUUGCUAUGUUAAAUUAUUGUGUCCCACAGAGGUAACAAAUUUCCUUGUCAAUUGUGUGUUUUGACUAUGGCUGCCCUAAAAUUUUUGUCAUCCAUGGACAAUUGUUGUCUUGUUUUUGUCCUCUUUAGAAGGUGGCUAUAUAAUCAGCUAUAAAACCUGACAGGUACUCUUGAAUGCAGGGUUCUGAUAACUUUGGAGACUGAUAUCAGAAUAGAGAAAAAACUUUCAGGACUCAUGGAGAGCCAAAAUGUUCAUAAAUAUCAAGCAGAACAGGAUUUAACUGCAUGGACUGAACUAAUAGAAGACUGAAGUAAUUGUUUUUACUUUUUUCUUAAAAUGUUACUGGUUCUUUGUUUUAUUUCUCAAAGUCAAAGAAACAUUUCUUUUAAGCUAUUGGCAGCUUUUAACAAUUAAGUAUACUCCUAUGAACAAAAUUUGGAGCAUAUUUGUUUGUCUCUACCGGAUUUCUCCAGAAUUUGGAAACUAUUCAUGGGUAUUCUUAAUAUAUGUCAAUAUAGUUAUUUGCAUGAGUGCAAGAAGAAUCUGUUUUCAUUUGUAACAGGAUACAAUUAGAGAAACUGGUUAUUUUACCAAGACUUUGACUGGAAUGGUGUGCUUUCCUUUAAGGAAUCAAACUUUACUUAUACAGCCAAUGAAAGCCCCUUGGGAAAACUGGCCUCAUAUCUUGUCUACGCCAUCCCUGUACAGAAUUCCUGACCUGUGGUAAGUAAAGAAUGUCACUUUCUGACAGACCCAGCAGCCUCGAGUUAUCUUGGGACCUCAAGAGGAGAAGAAUUCACCCAACUCAUAGAUAUUUGAUGGUACACAUCCAUGGCUGGGCUUGGCUUUAAAAAAAAAUCUUAUCUGAGUUUCCUUCUAUAGAACAAACUUCCAUCAAAGUUUGUUGUACAAAAUUUAUGUAUUUAUUUAUGUAUCUAUAUAUUUAUUUAUUUUUUGAGAUGGAGUUUCACCCUUGUCACCCAUGGUGAAAUGCAAUGAAGCAAUCUUGGCUCACUGCAACUUCCACCUCCUGGGUUCAAACAAUUCUCCUGCCUCAGCCUCCCAAGUAGCUGGGACUACAGGUGCCCACCACCACACCCAGCGAAUUUUUGUAUUUUUAGUAGAGACAGGGUUUCACCAUAUUUGCCAGGCUGGUCUUGAACUCCUGAUCUCAGGUGAUCUGCCCACCUCAGCCUCCCAAAGUGCUGGGAUUACAAGCGUGAGUCACUGUGCCCCUCCCAUCAAAGUUAACUUAAAAUGCCUAUAUGAAAAAUAAUUAUUCUUGCUGCAGUUUAUACAGAUAAUUUGGCCAGGCAUAAUGAAGCAAAUGGGUCCUACCAUGAUUUGUCUUUAGUAAACCUGGGAAACUGCAGAGAGAAAAAUUAUGUUUCAAAAACUAUAGUACACCUGUUGUUAGAUUCUAGUCUUGCCGAAUGUUUUUCAAUUUUUACUAUUUUCUACAAUUUGGACUGAAUUCUAAUUUUUCCUGACUUCAAGUCUCCAAAAUAAUGUUUUCAAUUUUUCUUCUUUUUCUUUUCCCCUGCAUUUUUGCUGAUUAGUAAUCACAAAGAAUGUAGCUAUGCUUUCUUAAAGCCCCACGAACUGAAUCUAGACAACUUAAUCUUCAGAAGAAAGUAACAGCAAUCUAUUUACCUACAUAAGCCACUUUCCUACCUGCCUACAAAUGUAUGGACUUCCAAAGAAUGUGGCCUAUAUGGAUUUUCCAGGAUUGUUUAUUUGUUUGUUGUUAUUUUUCUCUCUUCCUCUCCCUAUUUUCUCUUCAAAGGACAUGCAACUUCUCAACCUUCUAAAAAUGGGAUUUCCUAAUAGCUUGCGACCUACCUAUCUAGGAAUAAACCAUUCUAGCCAUGAGAGAUCAGACAAAACCUGACACCAGAGACUCAUUUUCUUUUAAAAUUCUUUCUCUAAAAUAUUUUUAAAAGGAAAGGAGGGGGGAAAUGUGAGAGGAAAAGAAAUCUUGGGGUGCCAAAAGUCACUAAGCUAAAGGGAAGAGUCAAGCUGAGAAAUGCUUAGGAUAAUUCUGUCUCUCUCCUCACUGAGAUAAAAUACAUAUCGGAUUGCCUCCUUUGUAAAGGCUAAUCAGAAACUCAAAAGAAUGCAACGUUUUGUCUCUUACCUACCUGUGACUUGGAAGCCCCUUUCUGCUAGAGUUGUCCUGCCUUUCCAGACGGAACCAAUGUACAUCUUACAUAUAUUGAUUGAUGUCUCACAUCUCCCUAAAAUGUGUAAAAUCAAGAUGUGCCCCAACCACCUUGGACACAUGUCAUCAGAACCUCCUGAGACUGUGUCAUGACCACACAUCCUCAACCUUGGCAAAAUAAGCUUUCUAAAUUAACUGAGACCUGUCUCAGAUAUUCAGCUUCACAUAUUCAUCUCAUCUUGGCCCCCUCAGCAACAUAGCAAGAGGUAGACAAUCCAUUUUUAUUAAUGACAACAUUAAAGCAGAGAAUAUACUGUAGGAGACUGUCUCCAAUACUUUCCAGAAGUGUUUUGCCACACCAAAAUCAGUGGCAUUUACUUUUGUGAGCAGAUAAUUUAUCUGUGCUACCAACUUCACAACUGAGUGGAAAUAAAGUAAGGUAGCAGAAAAAAAAUACUCAAUCAUUUUAAUUAUGAGUUCAUGGUUACCAAUGUGCUAGGCACUAUAAAAUGAUUUUGUCAGCAAAUCUUUGCAACCCUAUGAUGCAAAUUUGUUUUUACACAUGAGGAAACUGGAUUCAGCAAGGUGAGAUGACUUGGGUCACACAGCUUGGAGCAAGUGGAACAAGAUUUUAAGCCCUGAUAUGUUUGCCUCAAGGCUUAGCUGUUUCCACUGUGAAUACUGCUCUUUAAAUUAAGACAUGAACUCAACUGAAAAUCUCCUUCUAACCCAGAGAUAUGAACCCACUAAUAAUCAUCCCCAAAGCCAUUCCUUAUUUGCUGUUUUCUAGGGUGUGGAAACCUUGGCAUUUCAGGAUCCAGUCUCUGUUUGGGAGGCAAUAUAGCCUUAGAGUUAGGCGUAUCUGCUAGAUAUAAAAUGUAAAACCAUGUAGCUUCAUUAUGUGUCAAUUUCCUUAUCACUACAUUAUUAAAUUUGUAUACUAAUAUUUACUAGGUUGCAGAAGGGAUCAAAUGGGAAAAUUUAUCUAAAGUACUUAUCAUAGUACUUGUCAUGAAGUAACUUAUUGUCUCUUAUGUAGUGCAUGGUUUUUGAGGCAUAUGUUGCUAAAUUACUCAUUUUUGGCCAGCACCUGGGUCCAAGUUAUCUGGGGCUUUGCCAUUUGGAGUGUGAUCAGAGGAACAGCAGCACUGGCCUCAUCUAGGAGCUGGUUAGAUCUACAGAAUAUCAAUCACAGUUUCUGGCCUAGGCCUAUUGAACAGAGACCUGCAAAGUAACAAGAUAUCCUCCAAAGAUUUUUUUAUGUACAUGAGAUUUUGAGAAGCACUUAAACAUAGGGUAUUUUCUCAUUAUUGGCCUCUAUAAUAGGUAAGUCAGCUUACUUCCUCACUUUCUAUCUAUCGUAUUAUCCCUCUAUGUCUCAACAGGCAUACACAUACAUACAGGCACAUACAUAUAUCUAUAUAUGUGUUUGUAUGUGAAUUUAUAUGUAUACUCAUUAUAUGUAUGCUUUGUAUCAGGCAGUAUGAUAAAAACUUAGAUUUGUUAGUGAACAAGAAAGUCUUUGCUCUCCUAGAAUUUGAUAUCACUGGAGGACAAGCACCAUGAUCAAAGGGGAAUCUCUCUGAGGGCCUAAGGUUGAACCAGGAAUAGGUAGCAGGGGGAUUCACAAGAAAGAAAGUAGACAUCCCACCCAAAAUUCAUGAAUUGGUCUUUCUACAGAGCCAGUGGUAAGGUCUGAUGAGCAGUCUCAGCCUCAUCACAUUAAAAAUUUAUUUCCAUGGGCUUGGGAAAUCCUGUGAAUCCACAGGUUGUCAGUUGAAUCAGCUCAUAAAAUAAUUCUUGAGGCAUCUUGGUCUAGAUUAAAUUCACUUUGGUGUGAGCUCAAGGGAGCCUCUAAUUGUUCCACUAGAGGAUUCAGUUUAUAGCCUCUCCUCCUAAAUUAUGCUAGGUGAAUGGAAUUAAGAAUUCUUAAAGUGAAGCUUGUUAAUUAAAGCUUAUUUAUUACCAUGCUUUGUAAUCAUACAGAUUACUAUUAUCAUUAUAUCAUAUAUUACAACUAUAUGGUAAUAUCAAUAAUUAUUAUUAGGUACUAGUAGAUUAUUAUUCAAUAGUCAAUAAUAUCGCAUUAUAAUCAUAUGUAAUUAUAAUUUAUAAUAUUAUAUUAUUCAUGCAUCCUAAUCAGAAGAUUUGUUAAUGGUUUUGAUUUUCUAUUUCAAGAUAUAAUAAAGUUUAAAGCUUGAGCUUUCCUCACAGAUGUGAUUCCUGGAUUGAUUGUUUCUGUAUUUUGUAGCCUGAUGUCUCAUCCGAGAAGUUAUUUACCAAGAGUAUACAGGAAUUCUAUCUGGACACCAUACCACCACAUGGGAGAAGUCCUUUCAUAAGCUUAUCAGAUAGCAGCUUUAUUGUGAUAUUACUUCCAUACCACACAAUUCACUCAUUUAA